AUUAAAUAUUUAGGGAGCUUGUAUAACAGGCUGAGAGGAAGCAAAAAGUAGCUUCGACCUAUAACCUGAUUUGGAUAAUGCCAACGUAGGGAAUUACAUUAAAAAUAUU
rnacentral:ncRNA from 1 species